AUCCAGCGGUUGUCAGCUAUCCAGGCUUGUGUGGUGCCUGUGAUGGUGUUACACUGUUGGAAGAGCAAGCACUGUCUUUAUUGAGGUUUGGCUCCAAGCACUGUUUUGGUGUUGUAGCUGAGUACCUUUGGGCAGUGUUUUGCACCUCUGAGAGUGGAAUGACUCCUCCUGUGGAGUUGGUCCUAGUCUGGGUGCAAACAAUU
rnacentral:snoRNA from 1 species